rfam:Pichia sorbitophila strain CBS 7064 chromosome N complete sequence.
AUCGCCAGAAGAUCGGUUUCAUUAUCGUACAUGGUUCUUGCCUUUUACCAGAACCAUCCGGGAAUUGUCUUCAUUAAUGGCGUUUUUUCUAUUUUUUGGGACCAUUCUUAUAUCAUUUUAAGAUU